UUGUCAGCAGAUAGUGUUGCCAUGUAAAGUGGCUGUUUUGCAGUUGCUCGUUGGUCUACGGGCUUGAUUCUCGCAUAAGGUGCGAGAGGUCCCGUUUUCAAAGCCUGGACGAACCAUUGCAGAAGUCCCGGGUCCAAAUGAAGCAAAAGCCCUUCUUCAAUGUUUGUAAGAUAAGGACUUCUGACCAUCUGUUGCUUCUGAUGUCUUGUGAAAUAAUCAAGCUUUUGUGGCUCGUUGGUCUAGGGGUAUGAUUCUCGCUUAGGGUGCGAGAGGUCCCGGGUUCACAUCCCGGACGAGCCCUUGCAUUUAUUCUUUUGUUUUACAGGGCUUUAUGGCUUUCAUAAAAAACGUUUUUCGAAGAAUUCCAGUUUGUCAGCAGAUAGCGUCGGCACAUAAAACAUUCCUUUGCAUAGUGGUUUGGUUGUCUAGGAGUAUGCUUUUCGUUCAUGCCGUGAGAAAUCCCAGAUUCAAAUUUCGGUUUAGCCCUUACAGUUGUCUGCUGUUUUGUAAGGGCAUUGUGGCUUACACAGAGGCCUUUUUUCUGAGAAUGCCAGUUCGUCAGCAGAUAGUGUUGCCAUAUAAAGUUAUUGUUUUGCAGUGGCUCGUUGGUCUAGGGGUAUGAUUCUCGCUUCGGGUGUGAGAGGUCCCGGGUUCAAAUCCCGGACGAGCCCUUGCAGGUGUCAUGUGUUUUACAGGGCACUAUGUCUUUCAUUAAAAUGUCUUUCGAAGAAUUCCAGUUUGUCAGCAGAUAGUGUCGCCACAUAAAACAUUCCUUUGCAUAGUGGC
rnacentral:tRNA from 1 species